AACCACUUCGGUGGUCAUCAGUAAAAAUUGGAACGAUACAGAGAAGAUUAGCAUGGCCCCUGCGCAAGGAUGACACGCAUAAAUCGAGAAGUAUCGCACUUUUUG
rnacentral:snRNA from 1 species